CUUGUGAAUGCUUUUGUCGUUAAUUUAUAUUUUACAUACUCACAUUGUAUACAUGUACGUGCAGGUAAGCACACACCAGACAUGGUGAACGAGCAAAAACUAUUAAAUAUAGUAACACAUGCAGUUUCCUUAUCAGUCUUUGUACCUACAGCAAGCUCGUCAUUAUUCGAUGCUAUCUGUAUCAUGCAUUUACAUAUCCAGUUGACAACCAGUGGCAUUUACCACCGACCAUGCUCAAAGAUGCAUUGUCUUUGUCCAUAGUUGAAUCUUAUUCUGGAUACAUCGCUGACGCUUUCCUGAGGCCUGAACUUGGCCCACACCCUCCUCAUACACUGCCAUCACUCGUUAACUCCGUGUCCUCAUCGUUGUCCCACAUCUCCCCGCGGAGGCGUGCCCACGCCGCUCAAAUACAGCACUGCAGACGAGCGCCAGGCCACUCGCUCGGUUUGUCAGAGCGUACAGUGAGGUAAGCAGAGCCGCGCCGCCCACGCCAGGGAGAACUAUAUCCACUCCCGACAUUGUGAAACAGCGCGUUCGUCUUAGUGUAUCGUGAAGCGCCACUACCGCUACAAUUUCGAUUUUGGUGAAAAAAGUUUUACUAGGUGACAAAAGGUACAACUGUUUGGACGUCUACUUUCCAUUUAGCUGUUUGUGGAGGACGCAUGAUUUACCUGUGCCCGACCAAAAGCGAAGAUUGCAUGAAAGAUCUCAAGGCUAUAGUCGGCUGCGCCACACUGGGAGGCUUACUGGAUAAGCAGAAACAUCCCUGUGACUCCAAAAAAAAGUGUCUCCGCUUCUGUCUUCUACCACGAUGGCCCUGGCCUCCUUCCAUCUGAUGCAAACUCUGAAGAACUCUCCAGCGGCUCUGCGUCGGCGAUUCCGUCGUGACCGCACAGAGAGCCUGUCUCACGGCGAUCCUCUCUUCAAAGUGCACUACCUUGGCACCAAGAAGAUCUUCUCCCUGGACUUAGAGCAGGCGGAGGAUGCCAUCGAUCGACUCCUGGAUGGGGCCCCUGGGAAGCUUUCAAAAGAUCACGCCCUGGUAGUGCGACCCCGAUACGUCGAAGUUAAAGAACUAAGCACUGGAAGACAGCUCACCAAGACCUACUUGCAGGAUAUCGCAUACUGUGCCUCGCACACGGCCAGACCCAAUGUGUUUCUGUACAUCUGCAGGCAGCCUGGUCAGCAGCUACAAUGCAGAGUGUUCUGGUGCAGUCGGGCAGAAAGGGCAAAGGACAUGAACGCCUGCCUGGCAAUGUCAUUUCAGCGAGCGCUCAAUGACUGGCAGGGUGGAUGUGCCACUUUGCCGCAAGGGGAAGGAAUCACUAAAGAGCCAGAGAUUCCUGGUACACCCACUGCACCCAAAGGGUCAACAUUGCCAGCUAGUUUGGGGAAAGUCCGUUGGAAGAAGAGGGGGUCGGUGUCCCGCAGUCCUCUCCGUGCCAUUUCAAGCAGAGGUUCUGCCAGCGAAAACUGGCACUGAUGGUCACCAACCCACCCUGAACCUUGACAACAUUCAUUUUGUGAUGCUUGGGAAUUUCCAGCAUUGAAUGUGAGGAAAAGAACAACCACACCUACAGCUGAUGGAAUUUUUGAGCUUUGGUAGAGUUUGUAUGUCUGGGUAGUUUGUUGAUGUGACUGAUGAGCAGUGAGACCGUUUUUGUUUGUAUUAGAGGUGUCAGAUGAGGAUCUGUGUGGAAAGUAGGUGGAUGCAUGAUGGUAAACCGUAGCAGGACCAGGACAUCAAAGUAAGUGCUUUGGAAAACUGUUUCUAUCCCAAAUACACAAAGGAAGCAAUGCUCCUUUUCAUAUGGCCAAAUCCUCCACACAUUGCAACUGAUGAUUGAAUUAAUAUUACACCCUCAAUGUGACCAUCAUUCAUGGUGUAUUAUAUACUUCAUAUUUGUAUACCAACUUGACAAUCAGCACUGGUUGUAAUUUAGCAUUGGAAAGAUAGAGGUACUGAUUCUUGUUUCUGGUUGGGUCUAUCAUAGCCAUAUCCUGCUUUGCCUGGUUCUACCUCAAUUUGCCAUUUUUAUUAAUUUGAGUUGUUCAAGGUUUGAACUUGAUAGCAUUGGUUCCUAAGUUCCAAACAGAUCAAGAGGAAUAGUGUUAGUGGUAUUGCUGUGUGCACUUAAAAUGAGAAUAUUCUCUCCAAGCACCUGCAUUCCAGCUGUUUUUUAAAGGCUUUUUUUCUGUAACUGCAAGUUGUUUCACUACAUCAGCCCAUUUUUGUCUAAAAGGAAAAAAAAAAAACUAAGUCACUCUCUCCAGGCAACAGCUUAAGACAUCAGAAUGCUGACUGAUUCAAAGGUAUGCUUGCAUAGAGUAUUUAGUUAUAAAUCACAUUUUUAAGUGGCCUAGUUGCAUAAACCAAGUAUUUUAAACGAGGGCACCCUGCUUCGCAUGACUGGAACAAUCAAGAUUUCCUAGUAGAAAAGAUUGUCCAGCACCAUAAGUGGAUAUUUCCUUCACACUGUUACAUACGCUCACUAAGAAUUACAUCAUAUACUGUAUAACCGUAGUAUACAGUCAGUGCCUUAUGGUAUUAAAAAUUCUGCCUGAUGUUACGCCAAUUACAUCAAAGGAUUUCCCCCCCCAUUUUAUCCUUAUGGAUUUUAUUUAAAAUCGUAUUAAACUGUAUCUCGUACUACAAUGACCUCAGAUCUGUUGUUGGAUCUGUUCUGUCUGCUUUAUGAGGUGUUUAAUAUUCUAUGAAUGUUCUUGUACCUUAUUUUAAACCUAUUUUCAUGUACGUAUUUAAAUAUUAAAUGUAUUUUAUGGAAUAUUAAACUUUUUAUACAUGAAACAUUUGUGUCC
rnacentral:lncRNA from 1 species